rnacentral:lncRNA from 1 species
UGGCGAGCUGGAAGGAAAGGGAAUUAGUUUAUUCUGUUCCCUUUAUACCUUCACUAUCAAGAAUAUUACCUAUGGAAACAAGAGCCAAAUAAUCCCUUGGAUCAUAGGUUCAGGUGCUGACUUUGAACUAUUUUAAUAUAUAUUGGCAUGUUGCCUUCCAUUUUAUCUGUCCAGUGGAAGAGAGGUAUGGUCUCACAUGACUGGGGUAUUCACGAAGAUUUCUGUAGCCCUCAGGAAGCCAGGUCUCUUGAACAUACCAGUUUCCUCCAGGAACUCUGCAGGUGGAGGAAGAAACGCCAAGAUCUUCCAUGGAAAGGCAGGAAAAAGAAAGACAAGUCUUCACAGGGAAACAAUGGGAUCAUCUCACCCACUCUAUCAAGCUCAUGUCAUUGCAAAUGGCUCAGCACCGUGUUCUGACGUUUAGAAGUUACAGACUUUCUUCUGUAUUUUCAAUUAAAAGGAUUUUAGACUCUAGUACAUAGAGUUCUGCAGACACUGUUUUGCAGUGAUUUCAUUUAAAUGUCCCUGUGAUGACUUUGUGGGAUUCAACCAUUAGUGACUGCAUUUAAAGGCAAAGAUGUUGCAAGAGGGCUGGGUCCUUAGCCCAAGGCAUGAACUAUUCUUAUUCACCAUGAUUUGGUCCAGAUUUACUAAGAUCUGGAAGCACUCCCUGACAGCUUGCUGG